AAAAAAAAAAAAAAAAAAUCUCACCGGUUAAAUUAUCAUUCUACCCAUUAAGAAGUUACAAAAGCAUGACAUGGAUGAAGCAUGACAUGGAUGAAGCAUGACAUUCUUUUGCACACACCCUCCUUACCAUUGCUUAACUCCUCUUCCACAUGUACCAUAUACAAUGUUAAGUGUGAAAUUUGAGAACAUAUUGAACACAAUCACUCACAAAGUUAUAUGAAGAAGGAAAUUGACGUUAUUAAGCAAAGCAAAAGAUCAAUUAAUGUAAAGAAAACUAACCCAUUCUCACCUUCUCCUUUUCCCUGUU
rnacentral:misc_RNA from 1 species